UAGGGAAUCUUCGGCAAUGGGGGGAACCCUGACCGAGCAACGCCGCGUGAGUGAAGAAGGUUUUCGGAUCGUAAAGCUCUGUUGUUAAGGAAGAACGAGUGUGAGAAUGGAAAGUUCAUACUGUGACGGUACUUAACCAGAAAGUGACGGCUAACUACGUGCCAGCAGCCGCGGUAAUACGUAGGUCCCGAGCGUUGUCCGGAUUUAUUGGGCGUAAAGCGAGCGCAGGCGGUUAGAUAAGUCUGAAGUUAAAGGCAGUGGCUCAACCAUUGUAGGCUUUGGAAACUGUUUAACUUGAGUGCAGAAGGGGAGAGUGGAAUUCCAUGUGUAGCGGUGAAAUGCGUAGAUAUAUGGAGGAACACCGGUGGCGAAAGCGGCUCUCUGGUCUGUAACUGACGCUGAGGCUCGAAAGCGUGGGGAGCGAACAGG
rnacentral:rRNA from 1 species